rnacentral:rRNA from 1 species
UACGUAGGGCGCAAGCGUUGUCCGGAAUUAUUGGGCGUAAAGAGCUCGUAGGCGGUCUGUCGCGUCUGCCGUGAAAACCCGAGGCUUAACCUCGGGCUGGCGGUGGAUACGGGCAGACUAGAGGUAGGUAGGGGAGAAUGGAAUUCUCGGUGUAGCGGUGAAAUGCGCAGAUAUCGGGAGGAACACCGGUGGCGAAGGCGGUUCUCUGGGCCUUACCUGACGCUGAGGAGCGAAAGCGUGGGGAGCGAACAGG